CCGGAGCCGGGAGCGCCGCUCCAGCGAGGCGCGGGCUGUGGGGCCGCCGCGUGCCUGGCCCCGCUCGCCCGUGCCGGCCGCUCGCCCGCCAUGCCUGGCUUCGACUACAAGUUCUUGGAGAAGCCCAAGCGACGGCUGCUAUGCCCACUGUGCGGGAAGCCCAUGCGCGAGCCUGUGCAGGUUUCCACCUGCGGCCACCGUUUCUGCGACACCUGCCUGCAGGAGUUCCUCAGGAGUCUUCAAGUGCCCUGAGGACCAGCUUCCUCUGGACUAUGCCAAGGUGAGUCCACACUGCCAGGAAGAAGCCCAAGCACAGUCUGUUGCCCUUGGAGGCCGGAGCUGCUGGCAGCCAGUGGGCUCAGGGCCAGUGUCAACCAAAAGCCUUGGGAUGGUGCGCCUCCACAAAGGUAGCCUAUUCCCUCCCACCAGGCCAGUUUGCAAACGAGGCCCCUGUUUGCCCUGGAGGGCAGGCACAAUGCCCAGCCUGUAGGGGUGCACAGAGCUGCUCUGUGCCCACAAGAAGUGUUCCCUCCCCUUCCGGUGGCAAGCCAGACCUGUGGCUGAGGGCCAGUAUCCCUCCACCAGGGGGAAGGAAGCAGAGCCCCGGGGACAGCCUGGGAUCGAGCAGGCUGAUUGGCUGCCUCUUCAAAGGAAGCGUCCUGUGCAGGCAUGUUAGGACCCAGCAUCAGAGCAGAUGCUGCCUGCUGUGCCCUUCAUCCCUGGACUCAAGAGGGGCAAAGAGCCCAAG
rnacentral:sRNA from 1 species